GAUGAACGCUGGCGGUAUGCUUAACACAUGCAAGUCGAACGGACUCUUCGGAGUUAGUGGCGGUCGGGUGAGUAACGCGUGAGAAUCUGGCUUUGGGUACGGGACAACCACUGGUAACGGUGGCUAAUGCCGGAUGUGCUGAGAGGUAAAAGAGAACUUGCCUGAAGAUGAGGUCGCGUCUGAUUAGCUAGUUGGUGAGGUAAAGGCCCACCAAGGCAGCGAUCAGUAGCUGGUCUGAGAGGACGACCAGCCACACUGGGACUGAGACGCGGCCCAGACUCCUACGGGAGGCAGCAGUGGGGAAUUUUCCGCAAUGGGCGAAAGCCUGACGGAGCAAUACCGCGUGAGGGAAGAAGGCUCUUGGGUUGAAAACCUCUUUUCUUAGGGAAGAACAAAAUGACGGUACCUAAGGAAUCAGCACCGGCUAACUCCGUG
rnacentral:rRNA from 1 species